rnacentral:rRNA from 1 species
CACGGGGGGAGCAAGCGUUGUUCGGAAUCACGGGGCGGAAAGGGCGUGUAGGCGGUUCGGUAAGUGGAAUGUGAAAUCCCUCGGCUCACCCGAGGACCUGCAUCCCAAACUGCCGAGCUUGAGUAUGGGAGAGGAUGAGGGAAUUCCUGGUGUAGCGGUGAAAUGCGUAGAUAUUGGGAGGAACACCAGUGGCGAAGGCGGCUCACUGGACCGGAACUGACGCUGAGGCGCGAAAGCGUGGGGAGCAAACGGG